CCCUUAGAUGUUCUGGGCCGCACGCGCGCUACACUGAUGCAUUCAACAAGCCUAGCCUUGACCGAGAGGUCCGGGUAAUCUUUGAAACUGCAUCGUGAUGGGGCUAGUUUAUUGCAAUUAUUAAUCUUCAACGAGGAAUGCCUAGUAAGCGUGAUUCAUCAAAUCGCGUUGAUUACGUCCCUGCCCUUUGUACACACCGCCCGUCGCUCCUACCGAUUGAAUGUGUUGGUGAGGAGCUCGGAUUGGCAGCAGUUGGUGGUUCGCCACCGGCUAUUGCUGAGAAGUCCUCCAAACCGCCCCAUUUAGAGGAAGGAGAAGUCGUAACA
rnacentral:rRNA from 1 species